GCCGGGGUAGCCAAGCCAGGAUUAAGGCGCGGGCCUUGAGAGCCCGUGGCCCUCUCGGGCCGCGCGGGUUCGAAUCCCGCCCCCGGCG
rnacentral:tRNA from 1 species